GCCUGGGUGGCUCAGUCGGUUGAGCGUCUGACUUUGGCUCAGGUCAUGAUCUUGUGGUUUGUGAGUUUGAGCCCCAGGUC
rnacentral:tRNA from 1 species